rnacentral:rRNA from 1 species
GAUGAACGCUCGCGGCAGGCCUAACACAUGCAAGUCGAGGGGGAAGUUACUUUCGGGUGACUGAGACCGGCGUACGGGUGCGUAACGCGUAUACAAUCUGCCUUUCACUGGGGGAUAGCCCGAAGAAAUUUGGAUUAAUACCCCAUAGUAUAUAGGGGCGGCAUCGUUUUUAUAUUAAAGCUUAGGUGGUGAAAGAUGAGUAUGCGUUCUAUUAGCUAGUUGGAGAGGUAACGGCUCCCCAAGGCGAUGAUAGAUAGGGGUUCUGAGAGGGAUGUCCCCCACACUGGUACUGAGAUACGGACCAGACUCCUACGGGAGGCAGCAGUGAGGAAUAUUGGACAAUGGUCGGAAGACUGAUCCAGCCAUGCCGCGUGCAGGAUGAAGGUCUUAUGGAUUGUAAACUGCUUUUGUAAGGGAAGAAUAAGGGCUACGCGUAGUUUGAUGACGGUACCUUACGAAUAAGCAUCGGCUAACUCCGUG